rnacentral:lncRNA from 1 species
UAUGGAGUUGUACUUCACGUCGGAGUUCGGGCAAGAGAUCCAAGUCGGCUCUCCGACACUCGGAGUUGUCUGGCUUGCGAUACUGCUCGACUCUGGUCGAUGGUAACCCGAUCUCCAGCGGGAUCAUGGCUUCCGUUCCAUAGGCUAAGCUGAAGGGAGAUUUCCCGGUUGGGACACGGGUAAUCGUUCGGUACGCCCAC